rnacentral:rRNA from 1 species
CAAUAGCGUAUAUUAAAGUCGUUGCAGUUAAAAAGCUCGUAGUUGGACCUUGGACCUGGACAGGCGGUCCGCCUCACGGCGUGUACUGUCUUGCUGGGUCUUUCCUCUUGGUGAUCUGUUGUUUCGGCAGCAGGGAACCAGGACUUUUACUUUGAAAAAAUUAGAGUGUUCAAAGCAGGCUCGACGCCGGAAUAUAUUAGCAUGGAAUAAUAAAAUAGGACGUGCGGUUCUAUUUUGUUGGUUUUUGGAAUCGCCGUAAUGAUUAAUAGGGACAGUCGGGGGCAUUAGUACUCACAUGCUAGAGGUGAAAUUCUUGGAUUUUGUGAAGACUAACUUCUGCGAAAGCAUUUGCCAAGGAUGUUUUCAUUAA